rnacentral:rRNA from 1 species
AAACCGUUGAAAGGGAAGCGAAUGGAGUUAGCAAUUCGCCACGCCAGAUUCAGCUGCCCGUGCGGUGCGACGGACGUGCUCUCGAUCCGCAUGGACGAGGCGCGUGCGGAUGCGCCGCGCGAGCAGCGCACUUCUGGCGGGCGAGCGUCAGCGUCGGUCGACGACGGGCGACAAGGAUGCAGGAAAGGUGGGCCGGCACUCGCUGCCUGUUGUUAUAGCCCUGCAAUCGUACGGCCCGUCGUCGACCGUGGAACUGCUACGAAGCGUGCUGCCUUGCAUAGGGCGGCUGGAGACCCGUGCCGAUCGGUCCGGCAUGUCGACCGUGGCGGACGGCACGCCUGUGCGCUAGAACUGCUGCCGGUCGAUCGAUCGGUGCUCGCACACUACGCUUCGAAGGCGCUGACGGCCAUACGGCUCCAUCCGACCCGUCUUGAAACACGGACCAAGGAGUCUAACAUGUGCGCAAGUCUCCGGGUGAUCGAAACCCGUGGGCACAAUGAAAGUAAAGACCGUCCUAGACGGUUGAGGUGAGAAGCGGCAUGUGCCGUCGCAUCAUCGACCGACCUAUUCUGCUCUC